GCCCAGGUGGUGGAACUGGUAGACACACUGGCUUGAGGUGCCAGCGCUGCAAGGCAUGGGGGUUCGAGUCCCCCCUUGGGCA
rnacentral:tRNA from 1 species